rnacentral:rRNA from 1 species
UACGUAGGGGGCAAGCGUUGUCCGGAAUCAUUGGGCGUAAAGCGCGUGUAGGCGGCCCGGUAAGUCCGCUGUGAAAGUCGGGGGCUCAACCCUCGAAUGCCGGUGGAUACUGUCGGGCUAGAGUGCGGAAGAGGCGAGUGGAAUUCCUGGUGUAGCGGUGAAAUGCGCAGAUAUCAGGAGGAACACCAAUUGCGAAGGCAGCUCGCUGGAACGUGACUGACGCUGAGACGCGAAAGCGUGGGGAGCAAACAGG